UACAGAGGGUGCAAGCGUUAAUCGGAAUUACUGGGCGUAAAGCGUGCGUAGACGGUUAUGUAAGUCAGAUGUGAAAGCCCCGGGCUUAACCUGGGAAUGGCAUUUGAGACUGCAUAGCUAGGGUGCGGAAGAGGGAAGCGGAAUUUCCGGUGUAGCGGUGAAAUGCGUAGAGAUGUGGAGGAACACCAAUGGCGAAGGCAGCCUUCUGGGCCAACACUGACGCUCAUGCACGAAAGCGUGGGGAGCAAACAGG
rnacentral:rRNA from 1 species